rnacentral:SRP_RNA from 1 species
GCCGGGCGCAGUGGCUCACGCCUGUAAUCCCAGCACUUUGGGAGGCUGAGGCGGGUGGAUCACUUGAGGUCAGGAGUUCUAGACCAGCCUGGUCAACAUGGUGAAACCCCGUCUCUA